rnacentral:lncRNA from 1 species
CUUCUUGUAAGAGCUAGUAUUCCUUCUUCCAUUUGCAUUUUGAGGCGCCUCCUUUUGUUUCACCCUCAAAUUAUCUUGUUUCUUCUUUUUAGCUUUCCACCCAUAAGCUACCUUUUUAACCACCAUUUUAUGGCCAUCAACAAUCCUCAAAUUUCCCAAAGCAAUUGUUUUUCUCAUUUCUUUUUUGAAUCUAUAGAGGACAAAAGCGAAAGUGCUCCUUGUUCUACUUGACCCAUUGUUUUUCCAUACAAUAUAGAUGUCAACUACUUUUCAAAGUUCCUUAAAUAUCUCUCUUAAAUCUUGC